rnacentral:tRNA from 2 species
GUGGGCGUAGCUCAGUUGGUAGAGCACUGGAUUGUGGCUCCAGCGGCCGGGGGUUCAACUCCCCUCGCUCACCCCA